rnacentral:rRNA from 1 species
GACGAACGCUGGCGGCGUGCUUAACACAUGCAAGUCGAACGGAAAGGCCCUGCUUUUGUGGGGUGCUCGAGUGGCGAACGGGUGAGUAACACGUGAGUAACCUGCCCUUGACUUUGGGAUAACUUCAGGAAAUUGGGGCUAAUACCGGAUAGGAGCUCCUGCUGCAUGGUGGGGGUUGGAAAGUUUCGGCGGUUGGGGAUGGACUCGCGGCUUAUCAGCUUGUUGGUGGGGUAGUGGCUUACCAAGGCGUUGACGGGUAGCCGGCCUGAGAGGGUGACCGGCCACAUUGGGACUGAGAGACGGCCCAGACUCCUACGGGAGGCAGCAGUGGGGAAUAUUGCACAAUGGGCGGAAGCCUGAUGCAGCGACGCCGCGUGCGGGAUGACGGCCUUCGGGUUGUAAACCGCUUUCGCCUGUGACGAAGCGUGAGUGACGGUAAUGGGUAAAGAAGCACCGGCUAACUACGUG